rnacentral:rRNA from 1 species
GUUCCUACGGGACGCAGCAGUGGGGAAUUUUGCGCAAUGCUCGUAAGAGUGACGCAGCGACGCCGCGUGAAUGACGAAGGCCUUCGAGUCGUAAAGUUCUUUCGACAGGGAAGAAAAUGCCUAUAAGUAACUGUGUAUGUAUUGACGGUACCUGUAUAAGCAGCCCCGGCUAACUCCGUGCCAGCAGCCGCGGUAAUACGGAGGGGGCGAGCGAUGUUCGGAGUGACUGGGCGUAAAGAGCACGCAGGCGGUGUUGUAAGUCAUUA